rnacentral:lncRNA from 1 species
UGUAGCUGUCCCAUGUAUUGCCUGCCCUUGGGGCUUAUCAAAGGGGAUCAACCAAUUCAUCAUCAAUAAUUUAACAGUGGCAUACUACCAUAGCAUGAGUUAACAAAGGGGAAUGACGGGCAGAGCAGUGUCUUGAUGCUAUUGCGAUGGGUGCUCUUGCUAAAGGAGAAAUUUUAUUAGGAAGAGAAGAGAGGAGUGAAUACAGACCAUGUGGAAUUGCCAUGAUGAAGAUGGAUGGAGGGAAGAGAAAAGCAUCAAAGAACAGCGUUCAUGAUAUUAGUGAUGAUGAUGAUA